CAUGUACUCCCCCACCUGGUCACCUCUCAGUGAGUCACACUCAUUCUUCUCACCGCCUCACCCACUGCCAAGCCUCCCUAGUUAUACAAACAACACAACCAAAACAAAAACACACACACACACAGAAAGAAACAAAAGAAAGGGAGAGAGCGAUCUGAGAGAAAGCAGAGGGCAUCCGAGAAGAAGGAAGGGAGGGGGAGGCUCGCCGCUGUCGGGGCUAGGUGUCAUCGCUCCCGGCACCGUCGCUGUCGCGGAGAGGAAAGGAGGGGUUGGUGUCGCUGUUGCACAUGGUGGGAAAAGAGGAAGACCACGCUGCUAUUGCCAUCAUCAUUAUUGUCAAGAGUGAAAAGAGACGCCGCUGGGGCUGCUGCUAUUGUGGGUGUUGCCGUUUCUAAUUACUGCUUCACUCCACCAUAACUGAACCCUAUUUUCUCUACCCAAUAGAGCUUAUGGCGCUGCUAUGAGAACCACUACUGGAGAGGAUAAGCUACUACUGCUACCUUGGUUCUGCAUCGGAGUUGCUGUUACUGCCACCACUAUAGGUGAUUGGCGUUGCUGCUGUUUGAAUUGAUGUUGCUGCCACUAUUCUGACUGCACUAGGGUGUCGCCGCUGCUGCGAAUUCAAAACAAAAGAGAGUUUGUUGGGUUAAUUUCGAAGUUUGACUAAUUAAGUGACACAGGUUCGGAGACUCAGUUUGAAGCCGUGAGCGAUUAGGAGUUUUAUUUAAGUUAAUUUUAUGUGUUGAGUUGCUUUUAUAGAAUUUCCUCGCCCUUAUUAUUUAAGAUUUUAUUUUAUACA